AUUGAACGCUGGCGGCAUGCUUUACACAUGCAAGUCGAGCGGCAGCGCGGGGGGCAACCCUGGCGGCGAGCGGCGAACGGGUGAGGAAACCAUCGGAACGUGCCCGAGAGUGGGGGGAUAACGCCGCGAAAGCGGCGCUAAUACCGCAUAUUCUCUGAGGAGGAAAGUGGGGGACCGCAAGGCCUCACGCUCCCGGAGCGGCCGAUGUCGGAUUAGCUAGUUGGUGGGGUAAAGGCUUACCAAGGCGACGAUCCGUAGCUGGUCUGAGAGGAUGAUCAGCCACACUGGGACUGAGACACGGCCCAGACUCCUACGGGAGGCAGCAGUGGGGAAUUUUGGACAAUGGGGGCAACCCUGAUGCAGCCAUGCCGCGUGAGUGAAGAAGGCC
rnacentral:rRNA from 1 species